UAGUUCGCAACCUCGCUUCACGCACUUUCUAUUCCUCUUGUUAAUAACUCAGCUGCGUCAAUUAGGGUUUUUCUCUUGAGGGAAAGAAGCAGCUUCAACCCUUUGUUCACCAUGAGAGCUAAGUGGAAGAAGAAGCGUAUGAGGAGGUUGAAGAGGAAGCGCCGAAAGAUGAGACAGAGAUCCAAGUAGUGGCUUGUAUUCCGAAUGAGACUAGCUUCUUCCACCUGAUGUAAGACUGGCCUCUGGUCUUCUAAGGCUGUUAUGCAUAGGGGAAGGGGGUUCUCUCUAGACUUUUAGUUUAGCAGUAUUGAAAUUAAAGGCUUGAAAAAUUCUUGCUACGAUUCUGAGUUAAGAAUUUUUUUUUCUAUUUAUUUUUUUACAUUUGAAUUAUUCUGGAAUUUGCCUA